GCACGCUACUAGUUCGCUGCCAGUAAUGAAGGAUGAGAGAAUUGGCGGGCCGUAGGGUCGCAGCACGGCUGCAGCAUUCUCUCGUGAUGGGGUGUUUUAUGCAGAUGGGGCGGUGCUCAUGUCACGCUGUUGACUGGAACACUUGAUGGAAAACUGGCAUUGUUUCAUCCGGCCGAAUCUUCUCUCCCUCAAGUGUGGGAUCUACCCCAAUGGCUCAGUUCUUACCCCAAGUUCACCAAUGCUUCAGACUAAUGAAAGUCUUACAUCAUUCACAUUGAGAUUACUGUGCUGGCGUGCCACCUCUGAGACCUACAUCAUGGACGGACGGGAUCUGUGAUUUCAUCAUUUCAGCUGCCACUGACAACCUACAGAUGUGACAACAUGCUCACGCCUUCAACCCGAAGCCAAAGACGCACCCUCAGACAAAAGAGCAUUUGAGCUUUACAUAGCAACACGUUCCCAUGCGCUGAUACACAUACUGUACACACACUAUCCUUAUGCACAGGUUCAAAUGUUUUUUCGAUGUGUAAUGUUAUUUGCAGCAAAGUGAUAAUAAAGUAGUAUCUUGUUUGUAA